GGACAAACAACGGUCACCUUAAUUCCUUUUUGAUAGAGCUCAGAACGCAAGGACUGAAAAUAACCAUUUAGAGCAAAUUUAGAAGCAGAGUAUACUGCCUGUCCUGGGGCAGGCACCUUGCCAGCGGCACUGCUCAUCACAACAAAAUGGCCCCUCCCUCGCUUAAGCAUGAAAGUUGCCAGUAGCCUUGUAAGAGAUAUUGUCCCCAGAACAUUAA
rnacentral:misc_RNA from 1 species